GAUGAACGCUAGCGCUAGGCUUAACACAUGCAAGUCGAGGGACCGGCGCACGGGUGCGUAACGCGUAUGCAACUUGCCUCACAGAGGGCGAUAACCCGUCGAAAGACGGACUAAUCCCGCGUACUGUGAGAUAGGCAUGCGUCCCAUUAGCUAGUUGGUGAGGUAACGGCUCACCAAGGCAACGAUGGGUAGGGGAACUGAGAGGUUGAACCCCCACACUGGUACUGAGACACGGACCAGACUCCUACGGGAUGAAGCAGUGAGGAAUAUUGGUCAAUGGGCGAGAGCCUGAACCAGCCAAGGCGCGUGAAGGAUGACUGGCUAUGGAUGGUAAAAUUCGUUUGUAGGGGAAUAUGUACCCUACGAAUAAGCAUCGGCUAACUCCGUGCCAGCAGGCGCGGUGGUUC
rnacentral:rRNA from 1 species